rnacentral:rRNA from 1 species
AGUGAACGCUGGCGGUAGGCCUAACACAUGCAAGUCGAACGGCAGCACAGGAGAGCUUGCUCUCUGGGUGGCGAGUGGCGGACGGGUGAGGAAUACAUCGGAAUCUACUCUGUCGUGGGGGAUAACGUAGGGAAACUUACGCUAAUACCGCAUACGACCUACGGGUGAAAGCAGGGGAUCUUCGGACCUUGCGCGAUUGAAUGAGCUCAUUUCGGAUUAACUAGUUGGCGGGGUAAAGGCCCACCAAGGCGACGAUCCGUAGCUGGUCUGAGAGGAUGAUCAGCCACACUGGAACUGAGACACGGUCCAGACUCCUACGGGAGGCAGCAGUGGGGAAUAUUGGACAAUGGGCGCAAGCCUGAUCCAGCCAUACCGCGUGGGUGAAGAAGGCCUUCGGGUUGUAAAGCCCUUUUGUUGGGAAAGAAAUCCAGCUGGCUAAUACCCGGUUGGGAUGACGGUACCCAAAGAAUAAGCACCGGCUAACUUCGUGCCAGCCGCCGCCGUAA